CUGCUUCCUAGGGAGGGAGGCUGGGGCGGCAAGGCGGGCGCGGGUGGUCCUUGCCCCGCGCCAGCUCGCCAGGCCACGUCGCUGGCGUUUUUCCAGCGCUGGGUCACCUGCGGGCCGGCGGGUUCCCGCGGCGAACAGCUGGGUGGUAUGGAUACGCCGCUCGAGCCUCCGCAGCGUCAGGUCGCCAGGGUCCGCCCUGCCACUCGCCCCACCUUGAGCUACCUCUGAAGAAAAGAUGAUGGCCCGGUGCGGUGGCUCACGCCUGUAAUCCCAGCACUUUGGGAGGCCGAGUCAGGCGGAUCACCUGAGCAGUGUAAAGAAAGUCUGAAGAAUACUCCAGGAAAAUUGAGGAAACUAAAGCUAUUUCUACUACUGGUCUCAUAAUUGCAAAGCCAGUGCCUACCAUGAUAAGUGCUCUCUUACUUGGUAUGAAGGAAAUGAUUUUCUUCCCUUGCUAUUUUUUUUAGAAGAAGACGUAUAAGCCUUUAAGCUUAGUAAACCUUUGGGUUCUGUGCAUUUGGCCAUCAUUCCAGUUGUCAGCAUUGUGCAGGACAGGUACUUGAGGUCUGUUUUUGUGAACCAGGGACCCGAGGCACAGAGCAAGUAAGUGGAUAGAAACAAAUGCUGUAAGAACAAAUAAUUGUAUUUAAAAAUUUAUGAUUUUCAUUUAUUUUUCAGAGGAAGCAUUAAUGAGUAGGUAGUAAUUUCUGGGUAUUAAAAAACCAUCAGAGACAUUUCUUUUUCCUUAUAAAAGAAGUCAUAACAGUGAACAUUUAUAGCACUUAGCUUACUAAGGGUUUCACGUCCUAUAAUCCCCAGCACUUUAGCAGGCUGAGAGGGGAGGACUGCUUGAGGCCAGGAGUUCAAGACCAGCCUGGGUAACAUAGCAAGACCCUGUCUCUAUUUAGAAAAAUAAUAAAAACAAAGGGUUUCACAUGUAUUUUAGAAAUUAGACCUUCCGAAGUUGUGAGAUUUGUAAUAAUGUUCAUUUUAGAGACUAGAAAACUAAGCCUCAUGAAGGCCAUGUGACUUGUCCACCAUUGCACCAGUGCUGAGUGGCAGAUCUCUGGUCUGGAAGCCACGUUCUUCUCACUAUACCAUGUUGCCAUUUUUCAGCAACUGGUGCACGAUGCAUAUUCUCCAAGACAGAAGGGAAGGAGGCUUGAUUAAUUGUGGCUCAGCCUUUCCUCAUAGUUUUGGGGCUGUAAGACCUGUGCAUUGUAAGUGAACCAUAAGGUCUGUUUGCCUCAGAGCAGGUUAGUUCACACCGUGCUGCUGCUGCUUUUAAGCAAUGCAGGAUGAACGGAGCUUGGGAGCAAUUUUCUCUCACUCCCAUGGUGGCAUCUCUUCAGUUCACUUUCUUUGUACUGCUCCUCUUAGGUUUAUGGCCGUGCAGUUGUCAGUGCUCCUGUCAGUCUUUCCAACCUUCCCUCUAAAUUCCUGGCACCAGCAGUUGGCCUAGAACAUGCUGAUCUUCAGCACCCUGACAGAAAAGGCUGCUAUCACAGUGGAAAGUGUGGCUUCCUGGGCUGCCUCUUGGCAAAGGGCUCUAGCUUGUCCAGAUUUGGGUCAGCCCCAGGGUCUAUCAGUUCCAGGAGAGGUGUUGAAGGGCUGUGACAAAUGCCUGCCCUGGCAGAUGGAGGAAGCUCUGGCUAGCUUGAGAGCGCAGUGUAAUAACAGCUGCCCUGAGAAGGGACUUCCAGCCAUUCUUGUGCUCUGAGAUUGUGUCCGGAAUUGGUGGGUUCUUGGUCUCACUGACUUCAAGAAUGAAGCCGCAGA
rnacentral:lncRNA from 1 species